GAUGAAGAACGCAGCGAAAUGCGAUAAGUAAUGUGAAUUGCAGAAUUCAGUGAAUCAUCGAAUCUUUGAACGCACAUUGCGCCCAUUAGUAUUCUAGUGGGCAUGCCUGUUCGAGCGUCAUUAAUUCCACUUAAGCCCUGCUUAGUGUUGGGAAUCUACUCUAGUGGUGCUACCCUGGAGCUACCCCUGAAAGGGGGCUGGCCCGGUAGCUACCCUGUAGUUCCUCAAAGAUAGUGCGCGGAGUUGCGUGGUCCUCUGAGCUUAGUAACUAUACACCUAGCUUUUGAGUGUCCCGCGGCGACUGCCGUUUAAACCCCAUCUUUUAAUGGUUGACCUCUGAUCAGGUAGGAAUACCCGCUGAACUUAAGCAUAUCAAUAAGCGGAGGA
rnacentral:misc_RNA from 1 species